rnacentral:hammerhead_ribozyme from 1 species
AUCCUGCUGAAGAGUUUAAAAUAGGACGAAACGUGUAUCCUGGAU